rnacentral:tRNA from 1 species
GCUCCCAUGGCGUAGUGGUCACUGCACUCGCCACGCGGGAGACCCGGGUUCGAUUCCCGGCGGGGUCA